UGUCAUUGAAUCAUAUAAAUUCUACACGGGAAAAGACAAUUACGCACUCUAAAAAAAACCGCAAAGUCGGCCCCCUUAGCCACUCCUCCACACGUCAGUGUUUUUGUUCUCUCUCUCUCCAUGUUUAUCGGUCUUUCGGUUUUAUUAUAGCUGCCCUCGGCUCACUGUGACUGCUUUGUAAAGACAGCGUAAGGCUGAGGUAAGACUAACUCCUCUUUAAACCUCGUUCACUUUUAGACUGUAGUUUCGCAGGGCUAGUGAGCAGUGACUGAAUACAGGACGUUUUGGUAAAUGUGACGUAAAGCCGAGCUGGUUUGCAACAAAUGUGCCGCGAAUGAUCUUCUACAAUUUAAAAAUAUGAUACGAAGGGAAGCAGUCCUAACAUCUAUUAAUUAUGUUAAAAGCACGCUGUCUAUAUUUUAUCGUUUAAAAUACCUUUAUAUGCUCACACUGCACUGACCCGGAAAAAUGUGGGGCUGAUGUUUAUGUCUCUCAGCCCCAUGUGGCUCCCCUCUGUUCUCCAGGACGCGCGAUAUUUCUGUGACAGGACCCCAGCAUCCUGACCAUUAGUAGUGAAGCCUCAUUGCAUGAUGGGAGUCCACCCAGUAUAUUUAGUGUUUAUGAUUAGUGUCACCUCGCUGGUGCCAGGUCUGCACCACUGCAUGUCUGUCCUCUUGCUAAAUGGGGACCCCGUCCUUGUUGCCCUGGGUCAAACACUGGUUCUGGAAGCUCAAGUCAACAAAACCCCAGGACAUGAGGUUUCAAUGGUGACGUGGGAGAGGCAGAGAGGGAACCUUAGAGACAAGAUAGCCGAAUAUCCCAAGAGGAACCUCAAGCCGCAUGUGACCCUGGACCAGCAGGGAACGCUACUGAGAGUUACUGAACUGAACAAGGAAGGCUACGGAAUCUAUACUGUGACUGUGACUGACAAAAACGGGAAAGAAUACAUUGAUAGACGGACCGUAAAAGAAGCUGUUACGCCACCAGAAGCGUCCAUCUCGCUCUACUGCGACGUGCCCCUCACGCGGUGGGACAUGCCUGGGUUCGUGUGGCUAGUGGACGGGGUGGACGUGUCCAACAACGCUAGUGUCCUCUCUGCGGACGGCAGGAGACUCUUUCUGUCCAGACAGAAAGGGUCAAACUACACCUGUAUAGUGAACAGCAGCCAGGGUUCCAGUGUAACCCAGUACAUCACAGGUGAGCCCCCAGAUCCACCAUCACCUGGAUCGCAGGGCUUUGUUAAUGAUCUGAUUUUACCAUAUCUACUGGAGCCUAGGUGUCAUCUCAGCAUCCUGUGACGGGCUUACCUGCAGCGGCUGGAUCUGGGUCCUGGUGGCCCUGUCCUUUGCUAUCUGCCUCUAGCGGCUAUUUAAAUUGAGGCAACAGGGUGUCCCUCCCAGCCAAUCAUCUAGCUCUAUUAAUUGACACUCACAGGGUCAUGUGCCAAAUGAUAGCGUCCAUCAGCACAGUGCCAUUGGGACCAUGCAGACGAUGACCACAACCUAACAACUGAGGUCUCUGUCACAGUAAUGCAGAAACUGUUAUCUUAAUAUUAAUUGUGACAUUUUUACUACCAUGGUGUAAUAAAGAUGUAUUUUGCCUGUGUUUAUAAAAAAUAUUUUCAUAAUUA